CUGCUUAUGUAUUAUUUGUCUCCCCACCAGAAGGUCAGUCCACAAGGGCAGGAUUUUGGAGAGUUUUGUUCACUGCUGAAUUCCCAGCUCCUAACACAGUGCCUGGCACACUGCGUGCUCUGUAAAUAUUUGAGGAAUGAAUGAAUGAAGAACAGUGGAAGGAUUUUAAGCAGAGGACUCUCAUGACCAUAUUUAUGUCUUGGAUCCCUCUCAAGAAGGCUGAGACUGAAGCAGGGAGAAGGGCAAGAGGUAUUAAAGGUUCUGCCACAAAGGACUAGAGAUAGUCAUAAAAAGAACAGAGAUCAAAAGAGUGUUUACAGACUGGCUGACUGAGAUUAGAGCAAGUAAUAAAGAGUGAAUUCAAACUGACUUAGCGAAUAUUUGCUUUUGGUGGGGCUGCUGACGACUUGAGAAAUCGUUCUUUCUAUACUCCAUAAAAUAAAUUUUUUAACGAGAGGGUGAGGGACACAGAAAAGCAGAAAGGAAGCGUCAAGGUAAUUCACUACCUGGAGAAUUUGGUCCAGAACAAGUGAACCAUGCUGAUAAGAUUUUAAGAAAACACGGACAAAAUCACUUCCUUGUUCAGAUGUGUCACAAAGGGAACAACAACCACAAAAUCAUCCAAGCAAGGAACUCGGCCGACUCCUGAUUUCAACCUGGGAGAACAAUUUCCUGCCAGUGUGAUAUUGUUUUACAGGCAAGUUAAGACCCUCGGCGAGCAGGAUUCCUGCAUAAAGGCUGACGGUCAUGCUGGCUUGCAGAGCUUGCUUAUGUUUUUAAUAAAACUGUCAGAUUCAACAAUGCCUGGCUGCAGCAAAACAUCUGCUUUGGAUAUGUAAUCAGAAGAAGAAGCACGCCCCUCCCAUAGGGAGAGCAUGUGCCGCUGAAUCAAGGAGCUUGUUAUACCUGCGAGGGGUCAAAGUCUGCGGAUCUGUGGCUUAUGGUAUUAUGACUGAUUACAAAAUCACUCCAUUGUGUUAGUGGAUCUGUUUCCAAGCACCUAGCAGGAAGCUAGCUGGGCACUACACGCUCUGAAACAAGAUCCCCACUGGUUUUCUUCCUAAGGUCUCACGACAGGUCAGCUGUUGUUGACAUCACACGACAGCUCACGUGUCUUUCUGUCUGACUUGUGCCUCUGUUACUCUGAGCUCUGAGAGUCCUUUGAGAGUGAGCUUGUGCCUCAGGCCACAACUAGCUCCCAAGAAGUGUUGAGGUAGAUUUGAAAGCCAUGGGUAGCCCCAUCAUUUGUGCGAUUGAAAGGGAAAAGGAAGCCGAACUCUUACUCACCAGGUGUCUUUUCUGUGCCUCCCUUUCUCCUAGCCUUCCCCAUCUCCUCCUUUUCUCUUCCACUAUUUCCCUGGUUCCUCAUCCCCUCCUCCUCCCAUGGGCAUCUGCCUGCUUAUAAAACCUGUUUAGAGAGGAGAGCAGCUAGUUAGAGACCUGUCUCCUCCAAAAGCCUUUGUUUUGAAGUCACUUGUCACACAGACCUAU
rnacentral:lncRNA from 1 species